AGUCUUUAUUAAAAUAAAAUGAUAGGAUACUUAGUUUAAACACUUUGUAUUGUAUUAAGUCUUUAAAAUUCCUCUCCCGAUGACUCUUCAUGAAAAAGUUUUUUACAUUUGUAAUGUACUGAGUUCCCAACUUCUUAGUGUGAAGGACUGUUUAGAGCAGAGCACAGACCAGACGCUUGCAGUGGUAUGAUCACUAGGCCUUUGUUACUCAGAGAAUAAACAGGACAGGGAUGAGUAGAACAGCAGACACCAUUAGCCAAGUUUCCCUGAGGUUAGGCUCCCGUGCCAGCGUGGGGCAGUACGGUCACGUGCAAGCGUGUUCCACUUCGCACCAUGGUUGAGGAACCCCAAAGUCCCUCUCUCCGGGUUUAGUAUACUAGCAAGCUACAGUGAUUACAUGCCAGAAAGCAAGUACAGAAAGAGCAUAGGGGAAGGGGGUAGUAAAAGGGGAAAGCCCCCUGCGGGCAAGGACGCUACUCAUAGUCCUGAUUGGCUGUUCUGGACUUACUGGGGCCAGUGAACAGUCCUUCCUCCUUUAGCCCACUAAGAUAAACAGUAAAUGUUGUGGACCUCUCAGAGGGCAGUCAUUUCCCCCCAAGGCGUGUACUUUGUGUCCAUCAAUAGCUAUCAUGUCUGUUAGUAGCUGUGGAGACAGUGGGAGGUGAUUAUAGUAUAGAACACCUGUACACCCAACAUAUCUCUCAUUUCUUUUUAACCUCAACUUUUAAUACAAUUUCCAAAUAUUUGUAGGGAGCCUCCACCUUGCCAGGCACUGUCCUAGUUAUAAAAAUGGUUAAGAUACUGCCUGUCUUUUCCGUUGUACUCAGUCUGGGUGGGAAGACAGUUGGUCAUUCUGAAGCGUAAUAUGUACUAUACCAGUUUAUGAACCAACUUACAGGAGCAUAGAGAUGGAAGAACUGUGCAUGUUGAAAGCAAGUGAUGUUUGAGUUAGGCCUGGAAAGGUGAAUUCAGUUCUUCAGGGUAAAAGAUAAUAUUACACGUAAAAUAACUGGAGGUACAGAAGCAUGAAAGUGUUUUGUUCUGCCAGCUCUGGGAAGUUAACCACUCUGUGCUUCAGUUUUUCAUUUUUGUAAUGUGAAUGGUGGGUGUUUUUAAUGAGGGUAACACUAGUUAUCUCAUUGGAUUCUUGUGCGAAUCAAUUGAGUAAAUAUGUGUUAAGUGCUUGCAACAGUGCUCAGUAUAAGUAUCAGCUGUAAUGAAUAAUAAUUAGUAUAUAUUAUAUAAAGUUACAGUAUAUAUAAAUAGGAUAUUCACUUAUUAUAUAGUUUGUGAUAUUAUAUAUAAAGUUAAAUGUGCUAGUAUAUGUAAUUGGAAUUGACUCGAUGGCAGUGGUGGGCAGUAUAUAUAAUACAUAAUAUGAUGAUAAUAGAUUUUUUCUGUGGCUUGAGACCGUAGAUUGAAGAUUGUGAAAAGUAAUGAGAUUAUAAAGUAGAUUGUGAAAAAUCUGAAUUUUCUCCUUUUAUAAAUGAUAGCUAACAUAUACUGAGCACUUAUUCCACCCAGGCACAGUGGAAAGGGCUUUACAUGUGUUAUCUUACGGAAUUUUCCCAGCAACCCACUCAGAAAGGAACUAUAAUUACCAGUUGAGCAAACUGGUUGAAAAAGAUUGACUUCCCAAGGUCAUUUGGCUAGGAUGUAAUGAAGCAGAAACAUGAAUUCAGAGAGCCUAACCCCAGAGACUGGAGGGAAACACGUCACCGAGGAGGCUGGAUUGAGAUGAUGAGGUCACACGAUGUAGCGUAUGUGGGUUGGGGAGAAAGGGUGGGCUUAAGAGACGUUUCAGAUAUGGAAUUGACUGGAUUUACUGUCAGUCAGAGGGAAGAGCAGAAGUUGAGGGCCCACCUGGAGAUGUAUAACCUGGCUUGACCUGUUGGGUAUUUGUUUAUUUCAGCAGAUCUGCAGGUGCUACUUGAGUGCUCACUGAGAGGCAUGCCAUGGAAGAUGCAGAGAUAGAGACGGCCCAGGAGGUCUUGCGGUUAGACGAAGUGGGGAGGAGCAGAGUUGGUUGAGCAGGAAGAAAUGUUUUAGACAGGUCAAGUUUGACAUUUUUGUGUUAUAUCUGGGUAGAAAUUUUUCUUUGGUACUCAGUGGAAGUAUGGAUUUAAAUCUCAGAAGAUGUAGAGAGAGAGAUUUGGGAACAAUUACUAUUAAAAAAAAAUUAGGUGGUAAUGUAUACUCUGGUAGACUGUAGACUGAGAAGGUAUGAAGGUAAAAGCUAGGGGGAGUGUAUUACUUAGAGGAGGUGGGAAAAUUGAGUGUAAAUAAAGCAGGAGGAAGUUCAGUUCAUAAAGAUAUCUGGAAGCAAAAAUUAGGAAUUGAAUGUCAUUCAGUAGGGUAUAUUGGUUGAAUAAAGUGUGGACCAUCCUUUCAUUAGAAUACCAUGCAGUAUGCGGGGAACAAGGUCGAGAAAGAGCUUUACGUCCUCAGAGGAACCAGGAAGUGACUGCAGGAAAGUUUUAAAGACCUCGCCAGCUGAUUCUGAUGAUUAGCCAGGUUGGAACAUCAUUGGCAGAGUCAUUGUACCAGAGGCCAACUCAUGGGAGGCUGGAGAAGCCGCUGGAUUUGCAGUGAGAGAGAUUUUAGUAGGGUCGUGCUGAAGAAGCCAGAUUGCAUCGGAUUGAGGGGUGGAUAGGAGGUAAGGAAAUGGCAAUAGCAAAUGUGGAUUGUUCGUUCCAGCAAAUUUAGGGUAAAGAUUGGGGAACAAAGGGAGCAUUAAUGCUGAAGGGGAAGCAAGGUUAAAAAUAGGAUUUUUAGUGCUGUCAUGACUUAAGCAUAUUGGUAGUCUAAGGACCAGAUGGUGGGAGAGCUAGAAGAUAAUUGGCAACAUAGAAUAACUGAUGAACCAAGUUCCUGGAAGAAGUGAGAAGCAAAAAAUAUUAAGAGCGUAAAUAAAGCAGGAGGUCGUUCGAUUCAUGAAGACACCUGGUAGCAAAAAUGAGGCAUUGAAUGUCAUUCGAUGGUUCUUGGUUGAGUGAAGGAUGGACCAUCAUUAGAAUAUGUUGCAGUUUUAGAGUGCUGGGAGUGAUAAUGCAGAUACUUAUUUGUGGGUGUAAAACUGUCUGUGGAAGACUGAACCUCAGAUAAGGCCUGUUACAAAUCAGCUCCUCCAUCGUACAGCUCCAUGGAGUGCUGCUCCGUGGAAUGCCAUCCAUAUAGACCCUGGUGUGAAUGCUGCUCCCAGCAGUUGUACAGUCCAGGCAACCUGACUAUGGUGUGAUAUUCCAUUUGUGAACAAUCUUGUGUGUGAACAUGUAUGAAGUUAUUUGUGAAGAUAGUCUCCAGAAAAAUUAACUCUGGUUAUCUCUGGGUGGUGGGGUAUUGGCUGAUGUUUAAAUUUUUGUAGUUUUUUUUACAGUUUUGUUUAAAUUUUAGAAAAGCUUUUUAUUUAUAAUGAAGCUCUUUUCAUUUUGAAAAACAGUGAAGAAGAGUUCAGGUGAGAACCAAAAGUAGAGUUGAAUAUUAAGAAAAAAGCUCUUUAAAGAAAGGAGCAUUGCUUUUUUAAAAAAACAAAAAACCCUGGAGGGUCAAGUUCUUUUUAAGUUUAGAUGUGAUAGAAAAAAUCAUAAUGGAAAAAAAAGAUCAGCAGAUUAAUUACAAGAGCAAACAAACUAAAAAAAAAAAAAAUUCCUACAAAAUCUCUUGUACAUGAGAGAUUGUCAAGGUGAAACGGUGGACAGCGGCCUGUCAUGGUAAUGUUUUUGGGGAGUGUAAUAGAUCAGGAUACUUACUCGUUUUGUGAAGAGUUUACUGAUCUAGUCUGUUACUUGGAAUAUGUUUCAUUCUUCUUGAAGUCGAUUGGCUUUCUGUCAUGUCGUAGACCAGUUGCUUUGUAUUAAGACCACGACUAUCUUGUACUGCUCUGUGUGUGUGUGUUUAAGAGGUCCUAAAUGCUUCCCCACCACACACAUUCUGUGCUGCUUCGAGAUUCCCCAAACUCUGGGUCUUACUGUCAGUCUCCCUGGGGUGCGCUUUCUCCUGAGGGACCUCCCUAAUGGCCUCUUGUGUUUUCUUGCCUGAAUCUGGGCUGUUUGCUCUCUAAAGCUGCUGCCUGACUCUCACCCUGGAUCAUCGCUGCUCUCCUAGGUUAGACCCAUUAUCUUCCAGGUAUUGUGUCUCCCGUUUUUGCUGGAAUAUAUUAUCAAGUAAGUUUCUGGAAAAAAAAAAAAAAAAGGCCAGCUUUCUGAAUCCCUUCUUUCUGAA